rnacentral:rRNA from 1 species
AAGCGUGCGCAGGCGGUUAUGUAAGACAGAUGUGAAAUCCCCGGGCCUCAACCUGGGAACUGCAUUUGUGACUGCAUGGCUAGAGUACGGUAGAGGGGGAUGGAAUUCCGCGUGUAGCAGUGAAAUGCGUAGAUAUGCGGAGGAACACCGAUGGCGAAGGCAAUCCCCUGGACCUGUACUGACGCUCAUGCACGAAAGCGUGGGGAGCAAACAGGAUUAGAUACCCCUGU